rnacentral:rRNA from 1 species
UACGUAGGGGGCGAGCGUUGUCCGGAAUCAUUGGGCGUAAAGAGCGUGUAGGCGGCCCGGUAAGUCCGCUGUAAAAGUCCAGGGCUCAACCCUGGAAAGCCGGUGGAUACUGUCGGGCUCGAGUCCGGAAGAGGCGAGUGGAAUUCCUGGUGUAGCGGUGGAAUGCGCAGAUAUCAGGAGGAACACCAAUGGCGAAGGCAGCUCGCUGGGACGGUACUGACGCUAAGGCGCGAAAGCGUGGGGAGCAAACAGG